GAUGAACGCUGGCGGCGUGCUUAACACAUGCAAGUCGAACGACCCUCGGGGUUAGUGGCGGACGGGUGAGUAACGCGUGAGAAUCUGCCCUCAGGAGGGGGACAACAGUUGGAAACGACUGCUAAUACCCCAUAUGCCGCGAGGUGAAAUGAAUUUCGCCUGAGGAUGAGCUCGCGUCUGAUUAGCUAGUUGGUGUAGGUAAUGGCUCACCAAGGCAUCGAUCAGUAGCUGGUCUGAGAGGAUGAUCAGCCACACUGGGACUGAGACACGGCCCAGACUCCUACGGGAGGCAGCAGUGGGGAAUUUUCCGCAAUGGGCGAAAGCCUGACGGAGCAACGCCGCGUGAGGGAUGAAGGCCUCUGGGCUGUAAACCUCUUUUAUCAAGGAAGAAGAUCUGACGGUACUUGAUGAAUAAGCCACGGCUAAUUCCGUG
rnacentral:rRNA from 1 species